rnacentral:rRNA from 1 species
CCUACGGGAGGCAGCAGUGAGGAAUAUUGGUCAAUGGACGGAAGUCUGAACCAGCCAUGCCGCGUGCAGGAAGACGGCUCUAUGAGUUGUAAACUGCUUUUGUACAAGGGUAAACCUGAAUACGUGUGUUCUGCUGAAUGUACUGUACGAAUAAGGAUCGGCUAACUCCGUGCCAGCAGCCGCGGUAAUACGGAGGAUCCAAGCGUUAUCCGGAUUUAUUGGGUUUAAAGGGUGCGUAGGCGGAUUGAUAAGUUAGUGGUGAAAUGUCCGAGCUUAACUCGGGAACUGCCUCUAAUACUGUCGAGCUAGAGAGUAGAUGCGGUAGGCGGAAUGUAUGGUGUAGCGGUGAAAUGCUUAGAGAUCAUACAGAACACCGAUUGCGAAGGCAGCUUACCAAUCUAUAUCUGACGUUGAGGCACGAAAGCGUGGGGAGCAAACAGGAUUAGAUACCCCAGUAGUC